AUUGUUAAAGAGGGAAAGGGAGAAAGAGUUGCCGGGAGUUUAUGGAAGUGGGAUGGGUGGAAAGAUUUGUAUUUUCUCUCUUGAGUUUCUAAGAAUGUAAAGCAAAUCUUUCCUACUCCUCCCAUACCACUUAUUUCCAGUUCUUCCUCUCCACUUCUUACUUUUCUCGAU
rnacentral:pre_miRNA from 1 species